ACUAACAAGGAUUCCCCUAGUAACUGCGAGUGAAGCGGGAAAAGCUCAAAUUUAAAAUCUGGCGGUCUUUGGCCGUCCGAGUUGUAGUCUGGAGAAGUGCUUUCCGCGCUGGACCGUGUAUAAGUCUCUUGGAACAGAGCGUCAUAGAGGGUGAGAAUCCCGUCUUUGACACGGACUACCAGUGCUUUGUGAUGCGCUCUCAAAGAGUCGAGUUGUUUGGGAAUGCAGCUCAAAAUGGGUGGUGAAUUCCAUCUAAAGCUAAAUAUUGGCGAGAGACCGAUAGCGAACAAGUACCGUGAGGGAAAGAUGAAAAGCACUUUGGAAAGAGAGUUAAACAGUACGUGAAAUUGCUGAAAGGGAAACGCUUGAAGUCAGUCGCGUCGUCCGGAACUCAGCCUUGCUUUCGCUUGGUGCACUUUCCGGAUGACGGGUCAGCAUCGAUUUUGACCGUCGGAAAAGGGCUGGAGUAAUGUGGCACCUCCGGGUGUGUUAUAGACUCUGGUCGCAUACGGCGGUUGGGAUCGAGGAACGCAGCGCGCCGCAAGGCAGGGGUUCGCCCACUUUCGCGCUUAGGAUGCUGGCAUAAUGGCUUUAAACGACCCGUCUUGAAACACGGACCAAGGAGUCUAACAUACCUGCGAGUGUUUGGGUGGAAAACCCGAGCGCGUAAUGAAAGUGAAAGUUGAGAUCCCUGUCGUGGGGAGCACCGACGCCCGGACCUGACGUUCUCUGACGGAUCCGCGGUAGAGCAUGUAUGUUGGGACCCGAAAGAUGGUGAACUAUGCCUGAAUAGGGUGAAGCCAGAGGAAACUCUGGUGGAGCUCGUAGCGAUUCUGACGUGCAAAUCGAUCGUCAAUUUGGUAUAGGGCGAAAGACUAAUCGAACCAUCUAGUAGCUGGGUCUGC
rnacentral:rRNA from 1 species